rnacentral:rRNA from 1 species
UACGAAGGGGGCUAGCGUUGUUCGGAAUUACUGGGCGUAAAGCGCACGUAGGCGGGUCGUUAAGUCAGGGGUGAAAUCCCAGAGCUCAACUCUGGAACUGCCUUUGAUACUGGCGACCUAGAGUCCGGAAGAGGUUAGUGGAAUUCCCAGUGUAGAGGUGAAAUUCGUAGAUAUUCGGAAGAACACCAGUGGCGAAGGCGGCUCACUGGACCGGCAUUGACGCUGAGGUGCGAAAGCGUGGGGAGCAAACAGG